rnacentral:lncRNA from 1 species
UGAAGAUUAAAAUUAACUCUCCCAUGAUAGUGAAGAUUAAAAUUGUAACCCCUGCCUAUUUUCAGAUUUUAAUCACCAAAAUUAUACACACCCUACUUAAAACUUGAGUAUGAGAUCUGCCCAUUUUUAGAUCUAAUCACCUAAACAUCCCUCUUAAUCAUUAAGUGGGAGGCCUGUGACCCACGUGUGGGAUAGUGAGUGAUAAAUCAGAAUCGACUGACUGCCUUGUGGGCAGUCCUAAAACAGGGCUUCAACUGUGAUUGGUAGACGUAGAAUUAGGGGAAGGCACAGGAAGUGAUGUAAGAGAAAGUGUCUUUAAAAGGGAAUAACAACUUCCUGAGUGAGUUCUAAUGGUAGUUCUUCAUUUUUUUAAUGGCAGUUCUUCAUUUUUUUAAGUGGAGGCUGAUGAAGAAUGUGCUGACUGGACCUGAGACUCCGUUUCCUGAAACACAAUGUCAAGGACGGUCCAAGCGGAUCCUAGAGGCGUUCCUCCACUCUGCAGGGUUUAUCAUGCCAACUAGAUGCCAAGCUCCCCCCCCCCUUCCUUCUUUUCCUGAAGGUGAAGAGUAUUUCGCCUCUUGGCUUCCUGUCCUCUCAAGAUGCUCGCAUAGCAUCAGUAUGCAGACAUGAACUCUGAACAGGGAUCUCAAGAAAUGAAUGUUCCCACUCUUAGGACUCCCCAUCUGAGACUGAGUUGGAGAGUUCCAAGUUUCCUGAGUCAAAUCUAAGUGUUCAAAAGAACUUUCUGCUCUGACAGGACUUCUUCCAGGAGAAGCAGCAUUACCAUUACAGCUGAAAUGACUAAAAAGUCCCCAAGUCAUGCCUGGCUGGCCAGAAGGUGGACUUUGUAACUUUCUCUGGCAAACAGAUAGAAAAGAAAUGUGAAACAAAUAGCUUUAACACUCUCACAGAGUUCCUUUGUUUUUUAGGAAGAUUAAAAUGAAGGCAAUGUGUUAUU